rnacentral:rRNA from 1 species
AUUGAACGCUGGCGGCAGGCUUAACACAUGCAAGUCGAACGAGUGGCGGACGGGUGAGUAAUGCUUGGGACUCUAGCUUAUGGAGGGGGAUAACUACGGGAAACUGUAGCUAAUACCGCGUACCAUAGGAUGAGCCCAAGUGGGAUUAGGUAGUUGGUGGGGUAAAGGCUCACCAAGGCGAAGAUCUCUAGCUGGUCUGAGAGGAUGACAGGUCACACGGGGACUGAGACACGGCCCAGACUCCUAAGGGAGGCAGCAGGUGGGAAUAUUGCGCAAUGGGGGCAACCUGACGCAGCCAUGCCGCGUGAAUGAAGAAGGCCUUCGGGUUGUAAAGUGCUUUCGGUAGCGAGGCGUUAACUACAGAAGAAGCACCGGCUAACUCCGUGCCAGCAGCCGCGGUAAUUC